UACCCAGAGCGUGGUUCUUGUCUGCACCUCCUCCAAGACUUCAACCUUCUCCAGGGCAGGGUCUGUCAUUUAUCCAUAUGUAUUCAACAAGAUUCAUUGGGAAGACGAAUAAAAAGGGGGCUCAGACUAAUGAAAACAUCACACUUCCUCGCUUCGGCUGGGAUUAAAUUAUCUCAGUGUGGCAACAGCAAUUAUCUCCUGUAAUCAGAAGCUUGGCUGACCAGCUCUGUAGGCCUCGAUUGGUAAAACAUGGGGCAAAAGUUAAUUAGUAAUUUAAUGAGUUCAGUUUGUUUUGCGGAUGAAAAUCCUUUAAAAACAACCCGUGGGGUUGACAGUGAGAAGAGAAGGAGGCCUUGGUGCUGAAAAUCUCCGAAAAUACCCCAUUUGUCAUGAUGGGUGGGCCGCUCUAAGGGUGUUCACGUUUGUUGUAUAACUCAGACCAGGCCGACGGGUGGUCCUCCAGGCCAACGAGGCCCCGUUACAAGUGGUGUUUGUGGGGCACUCCCUCUGGGCCUGUCCGGCUCCCUCUGUCUCCACCAUCGCUCUGAAGCCCAAGCCACUUCAAGUAGGAGUGACGUCUUACCACCCCGUGGCUUCCCCAGGCUCCUCCUUAUAAGAACAUGGGCUUGGAGAUCUCACCUACCUGGUUUGAAUCCUGGCUCUGCCACUUACCUGCUGACAGAAAAAGAAAAAGAAACCUGGACUUAAGGCCGCUCAGUCAAGGGGGAAGCACAUCCAGCAGGCAUCUACAACAUGCCAGAAACCUCUCAUACAAAGCCAUCUUUCAUGGUUAUCCUCGUUUUACAAAUGAAGAAACUGAGGCCCUGAUGAGUAAAGUCGGUCAUCCAAAGUUGCACAACAAAUAAGUGGCACAGUCAGGAUUCCAGCCAGGCAGGUUCUGAGGGGUCCUCAGCAUGCAGGGCAGUUGGGCCACCUCCGAGCAGCUGCAGGCCCGUGGAGAUGGCCUGAAUUCGGACAGGCCCUGGAAGGAGGGUCUGGGCACCGCUUCCAAGCAUCUGACCUAGAAGGAGCAGCACAGCCGUGGUCUGGGAGUUUCUGUCCCCAGCCAAGACCCACAGCAGCAUGCUACAAGGGUACAGGAAGAGAAGAAGGAAGGGAGGAGGUGGAGGCUUUUGGAGGGAAGAAGUUUAAGGAUGUUGGAUGGCAUGUUCCCGUGGAUAUUACAGUUGCCGUGGAUGAUGGCAGGAGUAGAGACGGAGAGGAUGUCAGGGAGCCAGGUCCCCAUGACGUCAGGACCAGGAACGUGGGAACUUUCUAUCCCUAUGCCUGGAGCAUGGCAGAUAUUCAAUAAAUGUUUGUCAACUAAUUGACCAUAUCCAGGGUUUUCCUGCUUUUAUCUCUCCUGCCUAUGUUGGCCUUCGUGGAAAGACCUGGAAAAGCCACGCGGAACUAUAAAUCACCGAUGAUAGCUAUUGAAUGGCACUUCUCAGAGAAGUGAGGCUCAUGUUAUAGACGUGGUCUCGGGGAGACUUCAGACUCUCCACAGCAAGUAGAGCCAGUAAGAGGA